UGGGGCGCUGCCCCGGACCCCAUAAAGUGGGGUUAUGGGUACCCCUCAAACCCCCUCUUAACAAUGUGGGAAGAAUAUAACACAACCCAACAAUCUCCCCUUUGUUGUUUUCUUUCCACAGGGGGCCACAGGAGAGCUUAGUCAUUUUUCCAGCCCUGAAACGCCCAUUGUUUCUCUACACCAAGAGAACUUCUCAGAGCUCACAGAUUUUGUCAAUGCAUCUAUAGUAUUCUUCAAAGUGUCCACNNNNNNNNNNNNNNNNNNGGACCGAAAACCAUCGCGUCCAAAAAACAUGUGCGAAAAUCAUGCACAAAACCAUAAGUGGGUCCGCCCAACCUAACACAGGGUCCAAAACCAAAAUUUUCCGGGGCGCUGCCCCGGACCCCAUAAAGUGGGGUUACGGGUACCCCUCAAACCCCCUGUUAGCUAUGUGGAAAUAAUAUAACACAACCCAACACCCUCUCUAGGGGGGUACAUCUCCAUUCCACCUUGAACUUAUGUGAAGGGUUCGAGUGCGAGCACACCUAUUGGGACCCAAAAGAUGGUGAACUAUGUCUGAGUAGGGUGAAGCUAGAGGAAACUAAUACUGAUGUGCAAAUCGUUCAUCUAACUUGGGUAUAGGGGUGAAAGACUAAUUGAACUAUCUAGUAUCUAGUUUCCUCUGAAUUUUCCCUUAGGAUAGCUAGAGCUCAUGUGCAUUUUUUAUUAGGUAAAGCAAAUGAUUAGAGGCAUUGGGGGCGUAACAACCUCAAUAUAUUCUCAUACAUUAAAUAUUUAAGAGUGCGCAACCACUCCAUUGAGUUGUGCGAUGGAAUCGAGAGCUCUAAGUGGGGCAUUUUUGGUAAGUAGAACUGGCGAUGUGAGAUAAACCAAAAUUCGAGUCACAGUGCUGAAUUGCAUGCUAACCUAGAUCCCACAAAGGGUGUUGGUUGAUUAAGGCGGUGGGAUGGUGGUCAUGGAAGUUGAAAUCCACUAAGGAGUGUGUAACAACUCACCUGUCGAGUCAACUAACACCAAAAUGGAUGGCACUGAAGCACGCAACCUAUACUCAAUCGUCAAAUAAUUUCCUGGCUUCGAUGAGUAGGAGGAUUUUGGGGUCAUUAAGAAACUUUGGGUGUGAGCUUGGGUGGAUCAGGCCAUGGUGCAGAUCUUGGUGUCAGUAUAAAAUAUUCAAAUGAGAACUUUGAAGACUUAAGUGGGGAAAGGUUCCAUGUGAACAACACUUGGACAUGUGUUAGUCAAUUGUAAAAGAUGGGUAAGCCUUGUAUCAAGGGUGCACUCUGCACGAGCAUCGAAAAGGAAUCAGGUUAAUAUUCUUGAACUGGGACAUGGUGGCGGGUGGCAAUGUUAGGAAAUUUGAAGAUGUCGUCGGGGGCCUUGGGAAGAGUUAUAUUUUCUUUUUAACAUAUUUCCCACCCUAGAAUCGGUUCACUCGGAGAUAGGGUCCAUCAUCUGGAAGAGAACCACAUGCCUUGCGGUGUCUAGUACACCCUUGAUAAGCCUUGAAAAUAUGGAGGACUGAGUACUGUUCAUGCCUAGUCGUACUCAUAACCGCAUUAGGUCUCUAAGGUGAACAAACUCUGGUCAAUAGAAUAAUGUAGGUAAGGGAAGUCAGAAAAAUGGAUCUGUAACUUCGGUAAAAGGAUUGGCUCUGAGGAUUGGGCCUAGGGGACUACCCCCUAAACUCAUGGUCUGUCAAUAGUCUGCCCGAGCUAUUCUCGCGGCAAGGGAAAGUAGUUGCAUGCCGAUUUGGCUACGAGCGUAGAUUGACCCCUACCAGGGGAUUUUCCCUAGGAAGCGAACAAUCGAAUCAAAACUGGUAUGGACAAGGAAUUUUAUUGUUUAAUUAAAACAAAGCAUUGCAAUGGUCCCUGCAGAUGCUAACACAUUGUGAUUUAUGCCCAGUGCUCUGAAUAUCAAAGUGAAGAAACUCAACCAAGUGCGGGUAAACGACGUGAGUAACUAUGACUCUCUUAAGGUAGCCAAAUACCUCAUCAUAUAAUUAGUGACAUGCAUGAAUGGAUUAACGAGAUUCCCACUAUCCCUAUCAACUAUCUAGUGAAACCACAACCAAGGGAAUAGGCUUGGAAAAAUCAGUGGGAAAAAAAUACCCUGUUGAGCUUGACUCUAACCCGACUUUGUGAAAAGACUUGAGAGGUGUAAAAUAAGUAGGAGUUGUUUUCAGUGCAAGUGAAAUGACACUACUUUUAAUGUUAUUUUACUUAUUCAGUGUGGCAGAGACAGGGAACUACCCCUGUUUUUGGCCUUAAUGCACAUUUCGGUGGGUCGAUCUGGGCGGAAUACAUUGUCAGGUGGGGAGUUUGGCUGGGGUGGCACAUCUGUUAAAAUAUAACAUAGGUGUCCUAAGAUGAGCUCAACGAUAACAAAAAUAUCAUGUAGAAAAAAAGGGUAAAAGCUCAUUUUAUUUUGAUUAUCAGUACGAAUACAAACCAUGAAAGCAUGGCCUAUUGAUCUUUUAGAUUUUCAGAAUUUGAAGCUAGAGGUGUCAAAAAAGUUACCACAGGGAUAACUAGCUUGUGGCAGCCGAGCGUUCAUAGUGGCAUUGUUUUUUGAUCCUUCGAUGUUGGCUCUUCCUAUGAUUGUGAAGAAAAAUUCACCAAGUGUUGGAUUGUUCACCCACCAAUAGGGAACAUGAGCUGGGUUUAGACCAUCAUGGGGAAGGUUAGUUUUACCUUACUGAUGAACACCACCAUAAUAGUAAUUCAACUUAGUACAAGAGAAACCAUUGAUUCGCACAAUUGGUCAUCGCUCUUGGUUGAAAAGCCAGUGGCGUGAAGCUACCGUGUGUUAGAUUAUGACUAAACGCCUCUAAGUCAGAAUCCAUGCUAGAAGCAGUGCAUGGAUUCACUCAUGGACUAUAUCUCAACCCACAAUAGGGGCAUCACUUUGUCGCCCCCAGGGGCUCAUGUCAUUUGCAAACCGCAACCAUGAAGCAUCUUGAUCAGGGCAGCUUUCAAGUUCAAUUCCAAACAGU
rnacentral:rRNA from 1 species